rnacentral:rRNA from 1 species
GACGUAGGAUCCGAGCGUUGUCCGGAGUUACUGGGCGUAAAGCGCGCGCAGGCGGACACGCGCAUCGGCCGUGAAAGCCCCCCGCUCAACGGGGGAGGGUCGGUCGAGAUGGCGUGUCUGGAGGCAGGGAGAGGCCAGUGGAAUUCCGGGUGUAGUGGUGAAAUGCGUAGAGAUCCGGAGGAACACCAGUGGCGAAGGCGGCUGGCUGGACCUGACCUGACGCUGAGGCGCGAAGGCGUGGGGAGCGAACGGG